UGCUCUCCUUUGCUUCUAUAUGGCUGGGGGAGUCAGAAGACCAUAAGCUCCAUCUUUUUGUAUCUGCUCAAUACCUUUUUUAAAAAAUCAGUAUCUUAAGAAGCCCCCCACUUAGUCAUGGUUCCUUACCUGUAGAGGUAACCCAAAACUUCAUUCUUGAAGGAUAUGGGCCAUUAGUAUUAUUGCUUGAACUAGGUUGUUGUAGUUUUCCAUUAACUUUCUUCAAAGGGCAUGGGAAUAAUAAGAAAAACAGUAAUUAAUAUCCUGUAUUCUAAACAUUCUCUUCCUUACCUUUGUUGAGAAGAACUGCACCAGUUUCCCUUUGGUAGUCAGGAUCAGUCACCCCUGUUAGCACAGCAACGCCCUUCUUUGUCUGAUGGUUCAGAGCCAUAAGGAGCCAGUAGUGGUCAGGUGGCAGUCCUAACCUCCAGUCCAAUGGAAUCAUUUUGUCUUCUGGGGAAACUCAUUUUGAAAGUAAGACUUUUAGACUAGAGAGUAAGGUAGCAGGGACAGGAAGCAAAUAUUUUAUUAAGGAAUCACAGUAGGUAACAA
rnacentral:lncRNA from 1 species